rnacentral:rRNA from 1 species
UACAGAGGCCUCGAGCGUUAAUCGGAGUCACUGGGCUUAAAGGGUGCGUAGGCGGGCCGGCAAGUGCUUUGUGAAAUCCCAUGGCUCAACCAUGGAAUUGCUUGGCAGACUGCCGGUCUUGAGGUCGGUAGAGGUCGCUGGAACUCUAGGUGGAGCGGUGAAAUGCGUAGAUAUCUAGAGGAACGCCAAUGGUGAAGACAGGCGACUGGGCCGAUUCUGACGCUGAGGCACGAAAGCGUGGGGAGCAAAC